UGGAUUGUAUUCAGUGCUGGUCCUACUCAGGGUAGACCCAUUGAAGUUAAUGAGCAUGACUUAGUUUCACUUAUUUCAAAGAGCCUACUCUGAGUAGGACUAGCAUUGGCUAAAACCCA